rnacentral:piRNA from 1 species
UAGAUGUUGAUUUUCAUUACA